ACUCUCACUUCAGCAACAUGUAUAAUAAGAUUGGAACAAUAAAGAGAUUAACACAGCCCCUGUGCAAGGAUGGCACACAUAUCUGUGAAGCAUUUCAUGUCAAA